GACGAACGCUGGCGGCGUGCUUAACACAUGCAAGUCGAGCGGACAGGCCCUGCUUUUGUUGGUUUCUCGAUUGGCGAACGGGUGUGUAACACGUGAGUAUCCUCCCCUUGUCUUUCUGAUAACUUUUCGAAACUCUGGCUCUUACCCGAUAUAAUCUCCUGCUGCAUGUUGUUCGUUAGAAAAUUUCGGCUGUUGUGUCUGUACUCGCUGCUUAUCCGCUUGUUGGUGGGGUAGUUGCUUACCAAGGCUUUGACGGGUAGCCGGCAUGAGAGGGUGAACGGCCACAAGGGGACUGAGAUACGGCGCAGAAGCGUACGGGAGGCAGUAGUGGGGAAUAUUGCACAAUGGGCGGAAGUCUGAGGCAGCAACGCCGCGUGCGGGAUGACGGCCUUCGGGUGGUAAACCGAUUUCGCAUGUGACGAAGCGUGAGUGACGGUAAUGGGUAAAGAAGCACCGGCUAACUACGUG
rnacentral:rRNA from 1 species